rnacentral:misc_RNA from 1 species
UCGCCUCUUCAAAAAACCCCCCUCGAUAAUAUGCUGAAAUCAUGAUACUGUGAGAAUAGCCAUCAGAUUUAACACCUUUUUCCUUCAUUUCAUCAAAAAUUGAUCUUGCUUCUUCAUUUAUAUUCCCAGCCUUGGCAAGACCAUCCAUCAACAAACAGUAGGGCAUCUCAUCUUCUGCAUAGCCCAAAGCUUCUAGUUCAAGUAAAAGCUCUCUGGAUUUUUCAAAC